CCAAACAGUAACAUAAUUGCAGUUGAAUUUCCAACUGAUGAUGAUGCAGGGGAGGAUGUCCAGGUGGUUGGCAAGACGCCCAACCAAGGUGACCACAAUGGUAGUGAUCAUCAUCGUGUCGACACCGACGAUGACGCGCAUAGGUCGCAAGGAGAUAGCGACAACGCCGCGCACGACACAGGCGGAGAUCUCGACGACAACAUCGACAACGAGGCGCAUAGUGACGACGACAAUCAAGAUGAUGGUCACGGUCACAAC
rnacentral:lncRNA from 1 species